rnacentral:piRNA from 5 species
UAGCCAAUGAGGUUUAUCCGAGGCGC